rnacentral:rRNA from 1 species
CGAGCGGCAGCACAAGGGAGUUUACUCAUGAGGUGGCGAGCGGCGGACGGGUGAGUAAUGCCUAGGGAUCUGCCCAGUCGAGGGGGAUAACAGUUGGAAACGACUGCUAAUACCGCAUACGCCCUACGGGGGAAAGAGGGGGACUUUCGGGCCUUUCGCGAUUGGAUGAACCUAGGUGGGAUUAGCUAGUUGGUGAGGUAAUGGCUCACCAAGGCGACGAUCCCUAGCUGUUCUGAGAGGAUGAUCAGCCACACUGGGACUGAGACACGGCCCAGACUCCUACGGGAGGCAGCAGUGGGGAAUAUUGCACAAUGGGGGAAACCCUGAUGCAGCCAUGCCGCGUGUGUGAAGAAGGCCUUCGGGUUGUAAAGCACUUUCAGUAGGGAGGAAAGGUUGUAAGUUAAUACCUUGCAGCUGUGACGUUACCUACAGAAGAAGGACCGGCUAACUCCGUGCCAGCAGCCGCGGUAAUACGGAGGGUCCAAGCGUUAAUCGGAAUUACUGGGCGUAAAGCGUGCGCAGGCGGUUUGUUAAGCGAGAUGUGAAAGCCCCGGGCUCAACCUGGGAAUUGCAUUUCGAACUGGCAAACUAGAGUCUUGUAGAGGGGGGUAGAAUUCCAGGUGUAGCGGUGAAAUGCGUAGAGAUCUGGAGGAAUACCGGUGGCGAAGGCGGCCCCCUGCACAAAUACUUCGC